CGAUCACUCAGACAAGACAGCAAGUGUGGUUAUAUAGCAGCUUUAUUUUUCAGCAUCACAGUGAGCAGAGUUUCAGAAAAACAGGCAAUCAAUAUUACAUGACAGCGUCAGGGCUCUUCUGAACCCCGUCUGUUGGGUGGGGCAAAUUUUUAUACCCCUAGAAUGCGUGAUUUAAUAUCAUUAUGAAAUGCAACAUUCAACAAUUUUAUUUUACACAAUCCUUGAGCCCCUUAU